AUUGAACGCUGGCGGCAGGCCUAACACAUGCAAGUCGAGCGGAUGAAGGGAGCUUGCUCCUGGAUUCAGCGGCGGACGGGUGAGUAAUGCCUAGGAAUCUGCCUGGUAGUGGGGGAUAACGUCCGGAAACGGGCGCUAAUACCGCAUACGUCCUGAUGGAGAAAGUGGGGGAUCUUCGGACCUCACGCUAUCAGAUGAGCCUAGGUCGGAUUAGCUAGUUGGUGGGGUAAAGGCCUACCAAGGCGACGAUCCGUAACUGGUCUGAGAGGAUGAUCAGUCACACUGGAACUGAGACACGGUCCAGACUCCUACGGGAGGCAGCAGUGGGGAAUAUUGGACAAUGGGCGAAAGCCUGAUCCAGCCAUGCCGCGUGUGUGAAGAAGGUCUUCGGAUUGUAAAGCACUCUAAGUUGGGAGGAAGGGCAGUAAGUUGAUACCUUGCUGUUUUGACGUUACCAACAGAAUAAGCACCGGCUAACUUCGUG
rnacentral:rRNA from 1 species